CUCUCCAGAAGUGAUUCUCCAGACAGGCCUUCGCAAAGCUCCUGGAGCAUCGCACCAAGUGUGGAGGACGAUCUGGACAUAUCAAAGGUGACACCCUGCAGCGCAGCUUCUUGGAGUUUUCAUAUGCUUCGUUUGAGAAGGACCAACUCUGCUGUGGUGCUGUUCUCACCUGCCCAGCCUGCACACCAGAAAUGUUGGCUGUUUCAGUAGAUGGAAACAGAAAGUUAUAUCGCUUUCGCCGAAAUGGAAGUUCUGGUGACCAUGCCUUUUUUGAAGGUUUAUUUGUGGCUGAAGACAGUGCAGUGUCUGGAUUUGUGGACAUGAUCCAGAAAGCUGUGAAAAA